rnacentral:rRNA from 1 species
UGGGGAAUUUUGCGCAAUGGGGGAAACCCUGACGCAGCAACGCCGCGUGGAGGAUGAAGUCCCUUGGGACGUAAACUCCUUUCGAUCGGGACGAUUAUGACGGUACCGGAAGAAGAAGCCCCGGCUAACUUCGUGCCAGCAGCCGCGGUAAUACGAGGGGGGCGAGCGUUGUUCGGAAUUAUUGGGCGUAAAGGGCGCGUAGGCGGUCGGAUAAGUCUUGUGUGAAAUCUUCGGGCUCAACUCGAAGUCUGCACAGGAGACUAUCUGGCUUGAGUGUGGGAGAGGUGAGUGGAAUUCCUGGUGUAGCGGUGAAAUGCGUAGAUAUCAGGAGGAACACCUGUGGCGAAAGCGGCUCACUGGACCACAACUGACGCUGAGGCGCGAAAGCUAGGGGAGCAAACAGGAUUAGAUACCCUGGUAGUCCUAGCCCUAAACGAUGAUCGCUUGGUGUGACGGGUACCCAAUCCCGCCGUGCCGAAGCUAACGCGUUAAGCGAUCCGCCUGGGGAGUACGGUCGCAAGGCUG